UUUCUCCCCAAAGCAGGCUCACUGUGUACUGUUAUCAGCUUGUCUGAGUAUGAUGAGAGAGAACACAUUCAUGCACAUAUUACAUAAGUUGAUUUAUUACUUAUAAAGGGAUCGAAGAUGAGAAGUCUAAAAUUCAGUGUGAUGUGGUCCCCCUGAGGUUCAGAGAAGUUGCCUGGAAGGAUGGAAUUUUGAUUGCAUGUGCCCCACUUGCAACACAGUUAAGAGACUCCAGAAAAUAGCCCAGCCCAGGUUUUAUAGCCCAGGAUCACCUGACUCACUGACCAAAAGUGUUGAGAGAUUGUAUUUCUUGUGAAGACUGUUAAGUCUGGGCUGUUCUACCAUUCUCUUCUGAUAUCAGGAUAUUCCAUUCCCAGCACAUUCUACACUUAUUCUUGAAAACUGCAAGUAAGAAAGAGGGUAGAACCGGACCAGUCCAAUAAAACUUGGAGGACAGUUCUGAAUCCUUAACAGUGAGGGAUCAGGAUAUUUGUUGUGAUAGAAACAUAGGCAGUAGCAGUACAGAAAUUUCAGUGUCCCAGUUGGCCAUCUGCUAUUAGGUUUCUGGACCACAGCAUGACUCAUGACUGCUUUUGUCUUCUUUCUAUAAAAACUGCUUCAGACUAUCUUUUAAUUCUUCUCAUGCAAAGUAGCAGCAUUUGAUUUAUCGGUAGUGUGGGCAAUCUGUGUGGUUAAAGAAAACAGUUCAGGAGUCCGUCAACCCACAUUGAAGAACACCUAAUCCUCCAGUGAGUGCCACUCAAUCUUGCUGGUGUUAGCAACAUACAGUAAGGUCAUUUUGACUAAGGUCAUCUAGGUUGCAAGGUUAGGCCUUUGGCAUGCUGAUCAGUAGUGCUAAAAGAAGCCCAUAUACUAGAUAGAGGUUCUGCAAUGAAAGAGGCUAAUGCCAAAUGCUUCCUCCCCUUUUCUUGACUCAUCAGUGCCUGGACCAAGAGGCACCAUGGAUGUGCACCUCAUCAGAAGAAUGCACAUAAAAGCAACAGCACAAGAAAACACUCAAGGCCACUAGUCUUGCACAAGUCAUCUUGUUACACAAUUAGGUGACAUGCUUAAUUCUCCCCAGCAUGGGGACAUUCUUCCUUUCUGCAACUUCACACACACAAAAUCCCUGGAGCUGUCCCAAGUGUGUACAGUAAUAACGUUCACAUGGCUACUCCAAGCAUCCAGUGAUGGCAACCAAACGAGAUGCAGUUACCACAGAGCAGUAGUCUGACUUUUGAUAAUCAGGAAUAAAGAACCCAGUGGUGAAGGUGCUGGGUCACUGCCUCAAUGUGGGGUACCUUGGAAACUGCCUGCCAAACACAGGUCAAGGUGGAACAUACAUCCUCCUGGGGAACGGCUGGUCAACCAGUCAUGUCUAGGAGUUGAGAGUUCUACUGUGGGAAGAGGUGGCAACAGCUGAUAACACAAAGCACUGUGUAGACCAAAGUGAAAGUCCACCAUCAAUUGCUGUUUCUAAUUCAGGUGACUUCUGUUAUAUUAUGGAACCAGUUAGACAAAAGCAGGUAGUUAAAGCUGAAAAGAUAUCAUCAGUCAUGGUUGGUUCAUUCUGUUGGUAAUGCCAAUUGUUUUCACAGUCUCAUGGGUGACAGGAAAAAUUAGGACCCUAAGACUACUGGGAAAAACACGUGACACCCAUGAGUGUACAGAUAAGAUUGAGAGAAGUUAUUAGUUACAUACAUUCAUAGACAAAAAAGGGAGGGUUCUGUAAACGAGGCUGGUCCACACAAGACUUGCACUACGGAGCAGAUAGAACAAACAGGGUGUAAGGGGAAUGCUUUGUAGUAUCAAGAACGUGAGAUGCUUCUUGGUUCUCAUAAGGAUGCAAUUGGUUUGUUUAAAUGCAUCUGUGGAAUGGUAGGCAACUGAAAUAUGUUAGGCUACAGACUGAUAAGAUCAAAAUAGUAUGUUAUAAUGCCAUAAUCCUGUAAUAUACAAUUUAUUGUAGUGCUAAUUACACAUAAUAUAAACUAGUUAUGCAUAAUUCAUAGUAACUUACAAAACUGUACUAUACCACAUAUUAUAUAGCUACUUAUACACAUAUAAGUAUACAUGUAGACAUGCUAUAUAUACAGAUGAUGCUAUACUAUAUGGUAUACUAGGGCACACCAAUUUGACUAUAAAUGCAAAAGGCCCCAACAAUACACUGGAAAAUUGAACGUUAUCAAUAUGGGUUGAGUGUUUCUUAUCUGAAAUACUUGGGAACGGAAGUGCUUUGGAUUUCAGACUUUUAACAUUUUGGAAUAUUUGCAGAAAACUUACUGGAUGAGCAUCCCUAAUCCAAAUAUCAAAAAUCCUCUAAUGAGCAUUUCUGUUGAGCAUAAGACUGGUGCUCAAACAGUUUUUGACUUCGGAGCAUUUCAGAUUUGGUAUUGGAAUCUGGGGUUUACAGAUGUUCAACCUGUAGAUAAAAUACUUAUAUUCCAUGAUGAAGACAAAUUUCACCCAGAUAACCAUAAUAUAUUUAUAUCUGAAAGCCAGUUAACGUAAUAGACUAUCAGUAGAAUGCCAAAAACCACAAAUCAUCUCAAUAGAUGCAGAAAAAAACAUGUCAUAAGAGUUCAACACUCCUUUACCAUGAAACAAUAAAUAAAAAACACAAGAAAACUUCCUGAGCCUGUUUGAGAAUAUUUAUGAAAAAUCCACAAUAUACUUGAUGGUGAGACUGAAUGCUUUCACACGCAGAUUAGACAAGCAUACUGUCCAAUCACAGUUCUCUCUUCUUAAUUCAAAGUAAAAAGUGGGCCAGGUGUGGUAGCUCAUGUCAGUAACCCCAACAUGUAGACAGGCUGAGGCAGGAGGAUAGCUUGAGGCCAGGAAUUCAAUACCAGCCUAGACAAUACAGCGAGAUCCCAUCUCUAUAAAAAAUUUUUAAAAUUAUAUAAUUAGCUGAGCAUGGUGGCAUGUGUCUGUAGCUCCAGCUACAUAGGAGGCUAAGGUGGGAGAAUCACUUGAGCCCAGGAAUUUGAGGCUGCAGUGAGCUAAGACUAUUAUUACCACUACACUUCAGCCUAGCUGACAAAGUGAGACCCUCUCUAAAAACAUAACAUUUUUUAAAAAAGUGAACUAUGCAAGUAACAGCCAAAAC
rnacentral:lncRNA from 10 species